AUUGAACGCUGGCGGCAGGCUUAACACAUGCAAGUCGAGCGAGCGGAGGACGGGUGAGUAGUGUCUGAGAAACUGCCUAAUGGACGGGGCUAACUACUGUAAACGUUAGCUAAUACCGCAUACCAUCAGAUGUGCCCAGAUGGGAUUAGCUAGGCGGUGUGGUAAUGGCUCACCUAGGCGACGAUCCCUAGCUGGUCUGAGAGGAUGACCAGCCACACUGGGACUGAGACACGGCCCAGACUCCGACGGGAGGCAGCAGUGGGGAAUAUUGGACAAUGGGCGCAAGCCUGAUGCAGCCAUGCCGCGUGAGUGAAGAAGGCCUUCGGGUUGUAAAGCACUGUCGGCGAGGAGGCGUUACCAGAAGAAGAAGCACCGGCUAACUACGUGCCAGCAGCCGCGGUAAUAC
rnacentral:rRNA from 1 species